ensembl:lncRNA
GGAGGGAGAGAGUGUCCUGGGAAGAAGGCACAGCUGCUUUAAGGCUGGGGUUGGGGGAGUGUGGAGAAAGAUAUGGAUCUUGCCCUCACUGAGCCCCAAAUCUAGACAACCAAAUAAUCAGAACUGCUACUGUGGCCAUUUGUGACCAGCUGAGGAUGAAGCCAGUGCUGGAGAGGACAGAGAGAAGAGCUCGAAAGAACCUGGCUUCUUCAUAACAUUGCUGAGUGGCUGGAUCCACCUGCCUUUGAAGCUCUUGAUCUCUCUGCCAACUUUCAUGUUACCUGAGAUAAUAAACUCUUUAUUGU